GGAAUACCCGCUGAACUUAAGCAUAUAUAG
rnacentral:rRNA from 1 species